GGGGCAGGGGCUCAGCGGUAGAGCACUCACCUAGCAUGUGAAAGGCCCUAGGUUCAAUCCUAGCACCA
rnacentral:tRNA from 1 species